GGGAUUAGAAAUUGAAUUCGAAAAUGGUGUUUUACCGAUUCACAAGAAGUUAGUAUUUUUUAAAGUGCAUUGCCCGAAUGAUGUUCUAAAUAAUUUAGGAAAUGCGUUUGGUGUAAAGUGCGUUCAGAUAGCUCGAGCUGAACACAUAAUGUCAAACAAAGAACGCGAUUGGAUAAAUUUAAUAAGAAAGGAGUACACACAACCAUUGCAAUACUCGAGUUUGGAGAGAAGCCUCGUAGUUUAUAUGACAUUGCUGAACGUUCCAUUUGGAGACAGACAAAACUAUAUAGGACUGGAAAGAUUAAUGAAACGCAAUAUUGUGGUAGAGGCAUACGCGUUGCAUGACGGACCGUACUUUAUAACGCAAGACGCUACAAGUAUUAAUACUCGUCAGAUCCUAUUUUAUAAUUGGGUCGGAAUUACGAAUAUAUUUACGAAACAGCCA